rnacentral:ncRNA from 2 species
CUGGAGAGCGGCGCGCCGCGCGGAUGCCUGGCGCGCCCACCGAAGGGGCAACACGGGCGCGGCCCGUGGAAACUCUCAGGUCACAGGACAG